UUGGGUCCACCCUCGAGACUUGUUCGUGACAGAACGAUCUGGCCACAACAUGGACCCACCCGACUCUGAAGCCAUCCACCGAUCGUUGCAAGUCCAGGGCAGACGCCUGGUCGAGCAGGAGGCCGAGAGCCAAUGGAACGAGGAUGCCCUCCACGACGCCUUUUUCCAGGGGCUCUCUCCGCAGAUCCACAGUCUUCUCAUCACCGUGGAUCUCCCCCUUUGUUGGACGCCCUCAUUGCGUUGGCCCUCAAGGUCGACCAGAGACUUGUCAUUCAGGGGCAAAUGGACGCGUUGGCCGAGGGAGAUAUGGAGGCGCCCAUCCCAGCCGCUUCCCGGGCGCCCACUCUUCCCUCCACGGCAGAGCCCAUGCAGGUGGAGGGUCUCGACGGGCCAGCUGAGGCCUACUCCGUACUCCGGACUGGAGCACCAGGCCAUGAGGGAGUACGUCGAGGAGUUGCUGGAAGCCAGUCUCAUUCGCCCAUCGUCCUCACCAGGGUUCUUCUUUGUCAAGAAAAAGGACACUACACAUCGACUACUGAGGACUCAAAGACAUCACAGUAAAGAACAGGUCAGAGAGGUGAUUCAGCGGCUUCUGCAGCAUCAGCUGUUUGUAAAAAUGGAGAAAUGCGAAUUCCACCGAGCCUCCGUGUCCUUCCUGGGGUUUAUCCUGGCGGAAGAGGAGAUUCGAAUGGAUCCCGGGAAGGUCGACGCGGCGCUUCGGUGGCCCACUCCCGCCAGCAGGAGGAACGAGCAGAUGGCUUCGCGAACUUCUACAGAGUUUAUACAGAACUUUAGUUCCAUUGCGAUCCCUCUGCAUGCUCUCACAGCCCCACGCAACACCCUCGAGUGGACCAUCUUUGGCAAGCUUCACCGCCGCGCCUAUCCUCAUAGUGUCGGACCCGGAUCGCCAGUUCGUGGUCGAGGUGGACCCGUCGGACUCGGGGAUCAGAGCCAUCUCGUCGCAGAGGAGUACCAAGGACAGAAGGAUCCACCCGUGCGCCUUCCUGUCGAGGAAGUUGACCCCGGCAGAGCGGAACUACGACGUAGGAGACUGUGAGCUGCUGGCGGUCAAGACGGCAACGGAGGAGUGGCAGCACUGGUUGGAGGGUUCGCAAGUUCAGUUUGUGGUCCUCACCAAUCAUAAGAACCUCAAAUACCUGAGGACCGCGAAGCGGCUGAACGCUCGUCAGGCCAGGUGGGCCCUAUUCUUCACCCGUUUCCAUUUCACCUUGCCUUUCCGCCCAGGCUCCAAGAAUGGCAAGCUGGAUGCUCUCUUGCGGAUCCACAAGGGGGAUCGCGUGGAACAUGUGGCCGUCUCGAUCCUGCCAGAGGCGUGCUUCGUGUCCGGGUUCACUUAGGCGGUCAAGACUCGGGUGAAGGAGGCCCUGAGAGACACGCCGGGCCCCGCUGUUUGUCCGCCUGGUCACCUCUUCGUCGUACCGUCACUGCAGGGGGACAUCAUCAACUGGGCCCACACCAAUAAGUCGGUCUGCCAUCUGGGCAUGGCGAAGACGCACUCUGUGAUUGCACAACGGUUCUGUUGGCCCAACCUAAGUAGGGACAUGAGAGUUCUUCAACGCCUGCCCGGUGUGUGUGGCCAACAAGACAGAGGACUGCAGUUCAUCGCCCGGUUCCGGAAAGAAUUCUGCACCCUCAUCGGCGCCUCGGCGAGUCUGACAUCGGGCCAUCACCCAAAGUCCAGAGAGGGUCAAACAAGACUUGGAAACCGGCAUUCGCUGCUUGCCAUCCAGGGACCAGAGCACUUGGAGCCAGCACCUCAAAUGGGUGGAGUACGCUCAUAACUCUCUGCCCUCCGCCUCUACAGGUUUGGCUCCGUUUAACAUCGUGCACGGGUAUCCUCCCUCUGUUCCCUUAAAUGGCCACGGACUCCGGUGCCGUCAGCCCUGGCAGUAAUACGACGCUGUAAGCGGACCUGGGAGGCAGGACGCUGCUUUCCAUGGGCACCUCCUACAAGUCCGGCGCAGACCGUAAGAGGAGAGGGGCACCGACGGUCAAGAUGAGACAGCGAGUGCGGCUCUCCACCAAAGAUCUUCCGCUGCAGAUGGAGUCUCGCAAACUUGCUCCCAGGUUCGUUGGCCCAUUUCCCGUCAGGAAGAUCGUUAACCUUGUCACUGUGUCACUUAAGCUUCCCAGGUCGAUGAGGGUCCACCCGACGUUCCACGUGAGCAGACUGCGCCCGACCAGUCCGUCACCGGUGCUUCCUCCGGUCAAACCCCCCCCACCCCCCCAAAUGGUGGACGGCGGUCCGGUAUAUACAGUGCGCCGGCUGCUCUCUUCCCGUCGCAAGGGCAGGGGGGUCCAGUAAUUGGUAGACGGGGAGGGGUACUCCAGGAUCCCCUUCCGCUUCGUUGUGGACCCCACCCUCAUCAGGGACUUCCACGUGGCUCAUCCUGAUGCUCCUGGGCCGAGCCGGCCGUUUUUGGGAUACUGUCAUACCCUUGCCUUUUAGCCCGGGCUUGGCUGGGCCAGCUAAUCCCAUCACGACUGAUUGAACCCGGUAUAUAUAAGACCCUGGGGUUGCCUCGUUCCCGCACUUCCGUACUGCUGACGUCUACCUCCCGUGUACCGACCAACGCCUGGGAGUGCGACUCGUCUGUCUCCAUGUGCCCUGCAUUGGCCGGCAACCAAUUCAGGAUGUACCCCAGCUAUUGCCCAAAGAUGGCUGAGGUCCAGCAGGUAGGAUAAGUCAUACAGAAAAUGAAUGAAUGUGAAUGGACUUCUAGCCGGUAGUCAGCUGGAACAGGAUCCAGCUCACCCAUGACGAUAAUGAAUAUACAGAGUGGUAUACAAAAUGGAUGCACAGAAGCUGGAGGGGGCCACAGGUGGCAAAUAAUAACAAAUUUGUUUAUUCACUUGUCAGUUUUCCAGAUAAUGAUGAAGCCUAUACUUUAGGGAAGGUCAUGCAUAAAGGCCUUUCACUCUGUCUAGGAGUGCUUACGGGAACAAAUACAAAACGAGGAAGUCGACAAAGUCAGGAAUCUCUGAUUGAAAUCACUUUGAAAGCGCAACAUUAUGCCACAGUGUCAAACAUGUUGUUGCACGACUGAUGACGGCGUUAUCUAAAUCAGAAUAGAAAUCAAAACCAUCUAUGACAGAGCCAUUUGGUGACAUCACGUGUUAUUCCAGUCCAGCCCUUCCAUUGUAAGAGGAGGAGGGACUUGGCAGUUCAAGAGGGGACACGAGGCUCUAAUGACUUCAUCCUUCUUGAUGAAAAUUGUACUACAGUAUUCCUGGUGGUCCUGCAAUGCAAAAACAUGAUGUCCUCAAGAGGCAUUUGAGCGUGGUAAACUUUUCAGAGAAGGAGCUGUAAUGCGGGAAAGAAAGUUCAAGAUGACUCACUGACUGAAUAAACUCACUAAUAUGUGGACAUUGAGUUUACUCUUGAAACAUUUUUUUAAUGACUCAUGAUGUCAGAUUCUCCUAAUGAUCCUGACAGAGAUGGUGAAAGAUUAUUUUAUGGAACUGAGUAGUAAAAUUAAACUUGUUUUGUAAAGGAUUCCAGUACACCACCUUGCUUGCGAGCCCCUUUAUGGAUUUUUGUGUGUGUGUUUUAAUCCAUUUGUUCAUUUUUUUAUGGUGCUUGUCUAGUUCUAGCAUUUUUCUUUCCCCCUUAUGGCACCCCAUAGUACACUCACAAC